GUAUCAAGUGUUAUCAGUGUAAAUAAUGAAAAGGGCGAAACAACAAACUGUGGCAGUUUUCCAGAAAUUGAAGAAGCUGAAUGUGUACAUAGCCAGGUGCAAGAAUUUCCUUUUGUAUAUCAGUUGCCACUUUUUCCGGAUAAUGUUGUAGCUAAGCUACAAUGUUAAGACAAGGCUAGUUUUGGUUUAGGCUCAAAAAGCAAAGCGCUCUUAAUUGAUGCACUAUUUGAUGACUUAAAAAGGCGUGACAUUUUGUAUCCAACCAGAAGAAUAUAUUUUGCUGUUAGCUCAGCAGUUAUAUUAAAAUAUCCUUUUUUGGCUGAUUAUGAUGGAAGUAGUGUAAUGCAAUUACCAUUUUAUAUAUUAUUGAUUAUAUUUAUAUUUGUCAUCAUUUGUUAAAUAAGAAAAUUGUAUUGUAAAAUUUAAUAUAUAAGUCUAUUUCACAUUUUAAAUAAGUAAUUUGAGUUUAGAAUACUAUAAAAGUAGCUCUUCGAAGGAAAUUUAAAAAAUACAGACAACCCCUUUGUAGCGAAAAUUCAAUUGCUGUAACAAGAGAAAAAUUUGGAAGGCCUGGUGUUUCGGGAAGAAAACGAAAAGUAGAUCAAGUUGAAAUUAAUCAUCCUGACAACAGUACCCUCUCAAAAACAGCUCGAGUUAAGAUGUCAAAAGUAUAUCAUGUCAAAAAUGUAUAUUUUGGUUACUGCUCACAAGCUGAUUGUUGUAAGAUAAUAUACCACUCUAUG
rnacentral:lncRNA from 1 species